UGCGGUUAUACAAAAAUUAAAUUAAUUUUUUUUAGGUUUUAAUAAAUAAAAUAGAAAAAAAUAAUUUAAAUUUUAAAUUAUAAAGUGAAAUUUAAAUUUAAUUAAAAUUUAUUUAUUUUUAUGAUAUUAAUAAAUUUUAUAAAAAACUAGGAUUAGAUACCCUAUUAUAAAAAUUUAAAUUAAAUAAUCUUAAAAUAGUAUAUAAUUUUUUAUAGAAACUUAAAUAAUUUGGCGGUAUUUUAGUUCAUUUAGAGGAAUCUGUCUAAUAAUUGAUAAUCCACGAUUAAAUUUACUUAAUUUUUAAUUUUGUAUAUCGUUGUUAAAAAAAUAUUUUUAAAUAAUUUUAAUAUUUUAAAAUUUUUAUAAAAAAUUAAAUCAGAUCAAGAUGCAGAUUAUAAUUAAGAAUAUGAUGGAUUACAAUAAAUUUAUUUUAUUUGAAUAUUAAUUUGUAAGAAUUGAUUGAAAUUGGAUUUAAAUGUAAUUUUAUUAAUUUUGUUAAAAUGAUUAAAAAAUUAAAAUAUGUACAUAUUGCCCGUCGCUUUCAUUUAUAAAUUGAAAUAAGUCGUAACAAAGUAGAGGUACUGGAAAGUGUUUCUAGAAAGAU
rnacentral:rRNA from 1 species